rnacentral:rRNA from 1 species
AAAGAAAGACGAUUAGACCCUAUUGAACUUAACUGUAGUUAAACUGGGSCAGUAAAUUAAUUAUUAUUUUAWUAAAAUAUAUCAUAUAAAUAUCUAAUAAAAUUAAAUAAUUCAGUUACCAUAGGGAUAACAGCGUAAUAGUUUUCUAAAGAUCUUAUUUAAAAUAUAGAUUACGACCUCGAUGUUGAAUUAAUAACCUAAUUAAGGCAAAACUUAAAAAAGGAAGUCUGUUCGACUUUUAAAAAAUUACAUGAUUUGAGUUCAGACCGGUGUAAGCCAGGUCGGUUUCUAUCUUCUAAAAAAUUUUUUACAGUACGAAAGGACCUAAAA